UACAGGGGGGGCAAGCGUUGUUCGGAAUUACUGGGCGUAAAGGGCUCGUAGGCGGCCAACUAAGUCACACGUGAAAUCCCCAGGCUUAACCUGGGAACUGCGUGUGAUACUGGAUGGCUUGAAUCCGGGAGAGGGAUGCGGAAUUCCAGGUGUAGCGGUGAAAUGCGUAGAUAUCUGGAGGAACACCGGUGGCGAAGGCGGCAUCCUGGACCGGUAUUGACGCUGAUGAGCGAAAGCAUGGGGAGCGAACAGG
rnacentral:rRNA from 1 species